GACGAACGCUGGCGGCGUGCUUAACACAUGCAAGUCGAGCGGUAAGGCCCUUUCGGGGGUACACGAGCGGCGAACGGGUGAGUAACACGUGGGUGACCUGCCCUCAGCUCUGGGAUAAGCCUGGGAAACCGGGUCUAAUACUGGAUAUGACUCCAUGACGCAUGUUGUGGGGUGGAAAGCCUUGUGCGGCUGAGGAUGGGCCCGCGGCCUAUCAGCUUGUUGGUGGGGUGANGGCCUACCAAGGCGACGACGGGUAGCCGGCCUGAGAGGGCGACCAGCCACACUGGGACUGAGACACGGCCCAGACUCCUACGGGAGGCAGCAGUGGGGAAUCUUGCGCAAUGGGCGAAAGCCUGACGCAGCGACGCCGCGUGAGGGAUGACGGCCUGG
rnacentral:rRNA from 1 species